rnacentral:rRNA from 1 species
AGUUUGAUCCUGGCUCAGAUUGAACGCUGGCGGCAGGCCUAACACAUGCAAGUCGAGCGGAAACGAUGGGAGCUUGCUCCCAGGCGUCGAGCGGCGGACGGGUGAGUAACACGUGGGAAUCUGCCCAUUAGUGGGGGAUAACUCGGGGAAACUCGAGCUAAUACCGCAUAAUCCCUACGGGGGAAAGCAGGGGAUCUUCGGACCUUGCGCUGAUGGAUGAGCCCGCGUCGGAUUAGCUUGUUGGUGGGGUAAUGGCCCACCAAGGCGACGAUCCGUAACUGGUCUGAGAGGAUGGCCAGUCACACCGGGACUGAGACACGGCCCGGACUCCUACGGGAGGCAGCAGUGGGGAAUCUUGGACAAUGGGCGCAAGCCUGAUCCAGCCAUGCCGCGUGUGUGAAGAAGGCCUUCGGGUUGUAAAGCACUUUCAGUAGGGGAGGAAGGCUUUGGGGCUAAUACCCCUGGAGUACUUGACGUUUNCCUACAGAAGAAGCACCGGCUAAUUUCGUGCCAGCAGCCGCGG